UCCUACGGGAGGCAGCAGUAGGGAAUAUUGGGCAAUGCCCGCAAGGGUGACCCAGCCAUGCCGCGUGCAGGAAGAAGGCCUUCUGGGUUGUAAACUGCUUUUGGAAGGGAACAAAACGGUCGUGCGCGACAAUUUGAGUGUACCUUCAGAAUAAGCACCGGCUAACUCCGUGCCAGCAGCCGCGGUAAUACGGAGGGUGCAAGCGUUGUCCGGAUUUAUUGGGUUUAAAGGGUGCGUAGGCGGCUUAUUAAGUCAGGGGUGAAAGACUAUUGCUUAACAAUGGCAGUGCCUUUGAUACUGAUAGGCUUGAGUACAUUUGAGGCAGAUGGAACGGGUGGUGUAGCGGUGAAAUGCAUAGAUACCAUCCAGAACACCGAUUGCGAAGUCAGUCUGCUAAACUGUAACUGACGGUGAGGCAAGAAAGCGUGGGGAUCGAACAGGAUUAGAUCCCCUGGUAGUCCACGCCGUAAACGAUGAUGACUCGAUGUUAGGGAUAUACUCUUAGCGUCCAAGCGAAAGCGUUAAGUCAUCCACCUGGGAGACCCGCCCGGU
rnacentral:rRNA from 1 species